AACGAACGCUGGCGGCAGGCCUAACACAUGCAAGUCGAACGCCGUAGCAAUACGGAGUGGCAGACGGGUGAGUAACACGUGGGAACGUACCCUUCGGUUCGGGAUAACUCAGGGAAACUUGAGCUAAUACCGGAUACGUCCGAGAGGAGAAAGAUUUAUUGCCGAGGGAUCGGCCCGCGUCUGAUUAGCUUGUUGGUGAGGUAACGGCUCACCAAGGCGACGAUCAGUAGCUGGUCNGAGAGGAUGAUCAGCCACAUUGGGACUGAGACACGGCCCAAACUCCUACGGGAGGCAGCAGUGGGGAAUAUUGGACAAU
rnacentral:rRNA from 1 species